rnacentral:rRNA from 1 species
AACGUAGGAGACAAACGUUAUCCGGAGUUACUGGGCGUAAAGGGCGUGUAGGUGGUAAUGUAAGUCUGGCGUGAAAUUUUUCGGCUUAACCGGGAAAGGUCGUCGGAUACUGCAUGACUAGAGGACGGUAGAGGCGAGUGGAAUUCCUGGUGUAGCGGUGAAAAUGCGCAGAUAUCAGGAGGAACACCAAUGGCGAAGGCAGCUCGCUGGAACGGUACUGACGCUGGAGGCGCGGAAAGCGUGGGGAGCAAACAGG